rnacentral:rRNA from 1 species
CGAAGGUGCAAGCGUUACUCGGAAUUACUGGGCGUAAAGCGUGCGUAGGUGGUCGUUUAAGUCUGUUGUGAAAGCCCUGGGCUCAACCUGGGAACUGCAGUGGAAACUGGACGACUAGAGUGUGGUAGAGGGUAGCGGAAUUCCCGGUGUAGCAGUGAAAUGCGUAGAGAUCGGGGGAACAUCCAUGGCGAAGGCAGCUACCUGGACCAACACUGACACUGAGGCACGAAAGCGUGGGGAGCAAACAGGAUU